ACCAUGAUUGCCCUAGUAACGGCGAGUGAAGAGGCAAAAGCUCAAGUUUGGAAGCUCAAUGGUUUAACCAUUGCGCAUUGUAAACUGAAAACAGGAUCAAUCAGGUACACCGGGUGAUAAGUUCCUUGGAAUAGGACAUCAUGGAGGGUGAGAAUCCCGUCUUUGACCCGAGUCUAGUAUCUUUUGUAUUGGCCUGUUCAAGAGUCAGGUUGUUUGGGAAUGCAGCCUAAAGCUGGAGGUAAAUCCCUCCUGAAGCUAAAUAAUGGCGAGAGACCGAUAGCGAACAAGUACCGUGAGGGAAAGAUGAAAAGAACUCUGAAGAGAGAGUUAAACAGUACGUGAAAUUGCUUAAAGGGAAGCAUAUAAAGCUAGGAUGCGAUUGUUUUCUUCAGGUUGAGCUUUGGCUUGACUGUUCAGAAGGAUAAUCCAAGACAACAAGAAUUGGAGGAGGAGAAUAAGCCAUUGGGGAAGGUAAUCCUUCGGGAUGUUUAUAGACCUGAUGGUUCGCGCUCUUCUUUCGAUUGAGGUACGCUUUUUUUAAAGGUUGUUGUCUGAAUGGCUUUAUAUGGCCCGUCUUGAAACACGGACCAAGGAGUCCACCUAAUGUGCGAGUAUUUGGGAGGUAAACCCAUAUGCGCAAUGAAAGUGAUUUUACCUAUGAGGGGGUCUCUCGGGGCCUCUGCAAUAGGAUCGGGCAGGGACGUUUUAUACUGAACUGACUCAGAUAAAGCACAUUGGAUGGGACCCGAAAGAUGGUGAACUAUGCUUGGAUAGGGUGAAGCCAAAGGAAACUUUGGUGGAGGCUCGUAGCGAUUCUGACGUGCAAAUCGAUCGUCGAAUCUGAGCAUAGGGGCGAAAGACUAAUCGAACCAUCUAGUAGCUGGUUCCUGCCGAAGUUUCCCUCAGGAUAGCAGAAGUAAACGGCAGUUUUAUGAGGUAAAGCGAAUGAUUGGAGGCCUUGGGGGCGUAAUGCCCUUAACCUACUCUCAAACUUUAAAUAUGUAAGAUGACAGUCUUUCUUAAUUGAAGUCUGUCCAUCGAAUGCCUUACUUCUAGUGGGCCAUUUUUGGUAAGCAGAACUGGCGAUGCGGGAUGAACCGAACGCAAGGUUAAGGCGCCGGAAUCCACGCUCAUCAGACACCACAAAAGGUGUUGGUUCAUCUUGACAGCAGGACGGUGGCCAUGGAAGUCGGAAACCGCUAAGGAGUGUGUAACAACUCACCUGCCGAAUGAACCAGCCCUGAAAAUGGAUGGCGCUUAAGCGUGGUGCCUAUACCUUGCCAUUGGGGUGUAUUGGAAGCUCCAAUGAGUAGGCAGGCGUGGAGGUUUUGUUGUAAAGCUU
rnacentral:rRNA from 1 species